rnacentral:rRNA from 1 species
CUCCGCUGACGAGUGGCGAACGGGUGAGUAAUAUAUCGGAACGUACCCAGAAGUGGGGGAUAACGUAGCGAAAGUUACGCUAAUACCGCAUACGAUCCACGGAUGAAAGUAGGGGACCUUCGGGCCUUAUGCUUUUGGAGCGGCCGAUAUCUGAUUAGCUAGUUGGUAGGGUAAAGGCCUACCAAGGCGACGAUCAGUAGCUGGUCUGAGAGGACGACCAGCCACACUGGAACUGAGACACGGUCCAGACUCCUACGGGAGGCAGCAGUGGGGAAUUUUGGACAAUGGGCGCAAGCCUGAUCCAGCAAUGCCGCGUGAGUGAAGAAGGCCUUCGGGUUGUAAAGCUCUUUUGUCAGGGAAGAAACGGUAGAGGCUAAUAUCCUUUGCUAAUGACGGUACCUGAAGAAUAAGCACCGGCUAACUACGUGCCAGCAGCCGCGGUAAUACGUAGGGUGCAAGCGUUAAUCGGAAUUACUGGGCGUAAAGCGUGCGCAGGCGGUUUUGUAAGUCUGACGUGAAAUCCCCGGGCUCAACCUGGGAAUUGCGUUGGAGACUGCAAGGCUAGAAUCUGGCAGAGGGGGGUAGAAUUCCACGUGUAGCAGUGAAAUGCGUAGAGAUGUGGAGGAACACCGAUGGCGAAGGCAGCCCCCUGGGUCAAGAU